UACGAACCGUACAAACGUUAUUCGGAAUUACUGGGCUUAAAGGGUGCGUAGGCGGCCAAGUAAGUGAGGUGUGAAAUCCCUCGGCUCAACCGAGGAACUGCGCUUCAUACUGCUUGGCUUGAGGGAGACAGGGGUAAGCGGAACUGAUGGUGGAGCGGUGAAAUGCGUUGAUAUCAUCAGGAACACCGGUGGCGAAAGCGGCUUACUGGGUCUCUUCUGACGCUGAGGUACGAAAGCUAGGGGAGCGAACGGG
rnacentral:rRNA from 2 species